CGGCGUGCCUUAAGCAUGCAAGUCGAACGGGAUUUNGGAGUCGCAAGAUUUUAAUUUUCAGUGGCGGACGGGUGAGUAUAAGUAAGGAACGUACCCUAAACUAUCGCAUAGCUCGUCGAAAGACGGGGUAAUUCGGUAUGUGAUCGCAAGAUUAAAGAGCGUAACAACUCGGUUUUGGAGCGGCCUUAUGUCUAUCAGCUAGUUGGUGGGGUAAAAGCCUACCAAGGCGACGACGGAUAGGGGGUGUGAGAGCACGACCCCCCACAAUGGCACUGAGACACGGGCCAUACAUCUACGGAUGGCAGCAACUGGGAAUAUUCGGCAAUGGACGAAAGUCUGACCGAGCGACGCCGCGUGAGGGAUGAAGGUUUUCGGAUCGUAAACCUCUUUUGCCAAGCAGUCGAUGCUUGGAGAAUAAGCACCUACAAACUACGUGCCAGCAGUCGCGGUAAUACGUAGGGUGCAAGCGUUAUCCGGAUUCACUGGGCGUAAAGUGUCGUGUAGGCGGUAUACCGCAUCGUGUCUGAAAGCCCGAGGCUUAACCUCGGCGUUGGACACGAGAUGGGUAAACUUAGAGGAAUGGAGAGGAAAGGGGAACUCAUGGUGAAGCAGUGAAAUGCGUUGAUAUCAUGAGGAACACCGAAGGCGAAGGCACCUUUCUGGCCAUUAACUGACGCUGAGACACGAAAGCUAGGGGAGCGAAGCAGAUUAGAGACCUGCGUAGUCCUAGCCCUAAACGCAUGUCUGCUAGAUGCCCUGCCGCAAGGUGGGGUGUCGUAAGCUAACGCGUUAAG
rnacentral:rRNA from 1 species